GGGCUACGACUGAUUCGGGCUCGGCCCGAUCCUCCCACCCUUUGUGUACCUACCUCUGUUGCUUUGGCGGGCCGCGGUCCUCCGCGGCCGCCCCCCUCCCCGGGGGGUGGCCAGCGCCCGCCAGAGGACCAUCAAACUCCAGUCAGUAAACGAUGCAGUCUGAAAAACAUUUAAUAAACUAAAACUUUCAACAACGGAUCUCUUGGUUCUGGCAUCGAUGAAGAACGCAGCGAAAUGCGAUAAGUAAUGUGAAUUGCAGAAUUCAGUGAAUCAUCGAAUCUUUGAACGCACAUUGCGCCCUUUGGUAUUCCGAAGGGCAUGCCUGUUCGAGCGUCAUUACAACCCUCAAGCUCUGCUUGGUAUUGGGCACCGUCCUUUGCGGGCGCGCCUCAAAGACCUCGGCGGUGGCGUCUUGCCUCAAGCGUAGUAGAACAUACAUCUCGCUUCGGAGCGCAGGGCGUCGCCCGCCGGACGAACCUUCUGAACUUUUCUCAAGGUUGACCUCGGAUCAGGUAGGGAUACCCGCUGAACUUAAGCAUAUCAAAA
rnacentral:rRNA from 1 species